rnacentral:rRNA from 1 species
ACAACUUUCAACAACGGAUCUCUUGGCUCUCGCAUCGAUGAAGAACGCAGCGAAAUGCGAUAAGUAAUGUGAAUUGCAGAAUUCAGUGAAUCAUCGAAUCUUUGAACGCACCUUGCGCUCCUUGGUAUUCCGAGGAGC